rnacentral:piRNA from 1 species
UAACACUUCUGCCUAAGAAUUAAACUCCCAGU